GGAGUUAGCCGGUGCUUCUUCUGUGAGUGAUGUCCUUCCUGCCGGCUAUUAACCCGCAGGCCUUCUUCCUCACUGAAAGUGCUUUACAACCCGAAGGCCUUCUUCACACACGCGGCAUGGCUGGAUCAGGGUUGCCCCCAUUGUCCAAUAUUCCCCACUGCUGCCUCCCGUAGGAGUCUGGGCCGUGUCUCAGUCCCAGUGUGGCUGAUCAUCCUCUCAGACCAGCUACGGAUCGUCGCCUUGGUGAGCCGUUACCUCACCAACCAGCUAAUCCGACAUAGGCUCAUCCGAUAGCGCGAGGCCCGAAGGUCCCCCGNUUUCCCCCGUAGGGCGUAUGCGGUAUUAGCCUGGGUUUCCCCAGGUUAUCCCCCACUACCGGGCAGAUUCCUAUGCAUUACUCACCCGUCCGCCGCUCGCCACCAGGGAGCAAGCUCCCCGUGCUGCCGCUCGACUUGCAUGUGUAGCNGCCGCCAGCGUCAUCUGAGCAGAAUACGACCCGUACGA
rnacentral:rRNA from 1 species